rnacentral:rRNA from 1 species
CCUACGGGAGGCAGCAGUCGGGAAUAUUGCGCAAUGGAGGAAACUCUGACGCAGCGACGCCGCGUAUAGGAAGAAGGUUCUCGGAUUGUAAACCAUUGUCGUUAGGGAAGAUAAAAGACUGUCCCUAAGGAGGAAGCCCCGGCUAACUAUGUGCCAGCCGCCGCGGUCAUACAGAGGGGGCAAGCGUUACCGGGAGUUAUGGGGUGUAAAGGGUGUGGAGACGGAAGAACAAGUUGGUUGUGAAAUCCCACGGCUCAACUGAGGAACUGCAACCGAAACUAGUCGCCUUGAGUGUCGGAGAGGUAGGUGGAAUUCCUGGUGUAGCGGUGAAAUGCGUAGAUAUUAGGAGGAACACCGGUGGCGAAGGCGACUUUCUGGACGGUAACUGACGUUGAGGCACGAAAGUGUGGGGAGCAAACAGGAUUAGAUACCCCUGUAGUC